ACUUACGAGUGUGAAAUAAAUUCCAUAUCCAACAAUCACUCAUUGUGUAACCUCUAUAUAUCCAACAAUUACGAGUCGUGUGACCUUUUCUACCACAAUAAUAUCGGCUUGAAUCAAAGGGAAACCUGCCCAAGUAUAAUUUCGUGCAUGCAAAUGAAGUGUACCGGUGACGUCCGGGACCCGGUGAUACGACGUUAUUCGAUUAUUGAUGACGUCAAUAACAAUUGCAGCUUGGGUCAAAGUUUGAAUUCUUGACUAAUCAAAAGACCGGAAGGUCAUAUUCCACUAGUGGUAAAUAAUAUAUACCGGGUAUUUAUCCAACAGUCGGCACAUUUAUACAAUGUCUUGAUAGUGGAAUAACACAGCGUAUUGUGGUAGAAAGUGUUGUAUUGGAAAUGAUAGUGUGGGGGUAUAGUGUUUUAUUGGAAAUGACAGUGUGGGGGUAUAGUGUUUUAUUGGAAAUGACAGUGUGGGGGUAUAGUGUUUUAUUGGAAAUGACAGUGUGAGGGUAUAGUGUUUUAUUGGAAAUGACAGUGUGGGGGUAUAGUGUUUUAUUGGAAAUGACAGUGUGGGGGUAUAGUGUUUUAUUGGAAAUGACAGUGUGGAGGUAUAGUGUUUUAUUGGAAAUGACAGUGUGGAGGUAUAGUGUUUUAUUGGAAAUGACAGUGUGGGGGUAUAGUGUUUUAUUGGAAAUGACAGUGUGGGGGUAUAGUGUUUUAUUGGAAAUGACAGUGUGGGGGUAUAGUGUUUUAUUGGAAAUGAGAAUGUUGGGUAUAGAGAGAUUUUUUUUUUAGAAAUGACAGUGUUUGGUAUAGAGUAUUUUAUUGGAAAUGAGUGUGGGGUAUACACUAUUUCAUUGGAAAUGACAGUGUGGAAGAAAAUCAUAAAAUUGAAAUUGACACAAUCAUGUUAAGAUUCAGUAAUGCUUAGGUUUAUGAAAGGCCCUUACUAGUGACUUCUCACUUUCUCACACUAGGUUAAGGCACACAAGCCAUACCCAGAAACAUGACCUAAGCACUUUCUUUUUAAAA